rnacentral:rRNA from 1 species
UACGAAGGGGGCUAGCGUUGCUCGGAAUCACUGGGCGUAAAGCGCACGUAGGCGGAUCGUUAAGUCGGGGGUGAAAUCCUGGAGCUCAACUCCAGAACUGCCUUUGAUACUGAGGAUCUUGAGUUCGGGAGAGGUGAGUGGAACUGCGAGUGUAGAGGUGAAAUUCGUAGAUAUUCGCAAGAACACCAGUGGCGAAGGCGGCCCACUGGCCCGAUACUGACGCUGAGGCACGAAAGCGUGGGGAGCAAACAGG